rnacentral:lncRNA from 1 species
UCAACUUGAACAUGAUGUCACACUACUUUAAAAGAUAAAUAGAGUAGAAUUACUAUUUAUACAAAACAUCUCAUGUCAACAAUUCAAAAUACAUUGCAGUGGAAAACAUUCAUUUAACAACACAAUGGCACAACGGCCUCAACAUAAACAACAUAUUAAAAUUCCAUUCUAGGUGGUUCAUCAACAUAAUCAUAAUAAUACGUAGCAAAGGAAAUAAACAUCAAAAGUCCCCAUCCUGUUACGUAUCAGAGCGACUCCUAAGAUGACACAAGGAUUCAACUCACAUCUGCGGUUACUCCUGGUUAUCUGCAUGUUACCAACGUAGAGGCAGCAUUCAAACAAAAGGGGUGAGAUUUCACAUUAAAUAAUAAUAAACAUAUAAUUCUAUAAAAGAAUUUAACAACACAUAACAACAUCUAUUCAUCAUUAGCAAUACUAAUAAACAAUAACUCAUGUGAGAGAAAUCACCAACACAAAACAACGGCAAAUCAUCAUCAUAAUAUACUUCAUUAUUCUCAUCGCCAAGAUAAAUUAAUCAUCAUCAUUCAAAUCAUCAACAACAAUGCUUCACAUAAAUUCCAACUAUAAAUCAUCAAUUAACUUUACUCAACAAUGCAACAACAACAACUCAUCAAAUGCCAUAUGUAUGUGGUACCAUCAGAGCAUCAAGCCCUCAACUUUAAUAUGAAUGAUUAUACAUUCCAGAGCAUCAAGCCAUCUAGUUUAAUAUGAAUGAUUAUACAUUCCAGAGCAUCAAGCUCUCAACUUUAAUGAUUAUGCAUGGACUCAACAACAAAUGUAACAACAACCAACAACUUCAACGACAUCGACAACAACUUACAACUUUAACGACAAUAGCGGCAAUGUUCUAGACUCGUCUAGAUGCAUGUGGUACCGACUGAAUUCCGAAGAUAAUUUUACCGUAUUGAACCCACUAUGCAAUCCCCUCCAACUACGUACUAACAUAACUCCCUUCGGUUAUGUUCCCACCAUGACUUGACAUGACUAUGAAUGCAUGGACAUGUAAGCAAAGAAUCGACAAUGCGAUAAAUUACAACAUCAUAUUAUAUGAUCCCUUCAUCAUAUAAUAUUCCCACCAAGAAUCUACCAAUGCAUCAUCAAGUAUUUACGUCCAUACAUUUCAACAAGUCAUAUUCAACAAGAGUCAUAAACGUAUUCAACAUUCAUCCAUCACAAAUAAAACACAAUCUUCUCACAAUUCACCAUUUUGCAUGAAAGUAGACAUAUAACACCAUUCGUGAUAUUCAAGCAUCAAACACCUAACAAUCAUCAUUUCAUCCUCAAUUCAUCCUAUUAUCAUGUUUCUAAGGCCGUUUAGAAGUUACCUAAUCAAGACAACUCAUUUCAACGAAGUUCGUCUAUUUUAACAACUUUCAUCAUUUUCUAAGUAAUUUGACAAAACAAAGUAUACAUGUUCAAAGACCUCAACAAAGCAUAUCCACUGCUCGGAUAUGAUCACAGUAGCAUAUGCAUAUACGCAUCAUAGGCCAAUUCCCAUUAAUUCAAAAUUUUCUCUAAGUUCAUCUCACUUUAUCAUUUUUUCAAAAGAAUUCCAAUUUUCAAAGUAAAACCAAGUUAAAACUCAUUAAUAACAUUCAAAACUAUUUUAUAAAUCAUAGUUACAGUAAACAACCCUAACCCCCACCUUUUUCCUUUGAGAAAAACGAGUUUCGGAAAAUUAUACGUUCUUGAAUAUUUUUCAAAAAGUUUGAUUCGAUUCAUAAACCAAGUUUAAUCUAAUUCAUUUGAUGUUUCCAAAGGUUUAGAAAGCAUAACCACAGUUAAAUACAUCAAAAGCAUAAUUUAGGAAAGUCUAGAUCGACCCCGAAGUACCCGGAACUCAAAAAAUAUGGGCUGUUGUACUGAGUAACUCACCACAACAUGUAGUCACUCACUCAACGAGUUCAUCAGUAUAGGGAACCCAUAUUUUUUGGUUUUUUUCGUGAACUCGCUCAAUUUUUAUUCAAAAACUCCGAUUUUGAUCCCCUUUGACCCCAAUUUGUUCCCCAAACUUGUUUAUUAUUUAAUAUACAUCAAAAGACAAUCAAAACAACAUCAAACAUGGAAUCAUAACAUCAGUUCUCAUCAUUAUGUUCAUUUUUCACCAAAACUCACAAUUUUCUCAUUUUUCAUUCAAACUUCACAAACAACCACACAAAUUCAAACCCCAUCAAGAUACAAACAUAAAUAAGCAUUUGUGAAGUGAAUUUAAACAUGUUUCAACAAUAAUCACUCAUCAAUUCAUGACUUACACUCAAAUAAGCAAAAAUCACCAAAACAACUUAUCAACAACAACUUUGAGUUUUAAGCACAUAACAUAACAAAUUCAUGAAGUUUAUUAUACCAAUAAAUUCACUUGAGUUAAGAGCACAAAAUUCAUCAUGAAAAAUCACAAAAGUCCCAAUUAGCACCAAAGCACUUAAACCCAUAAUUGAAAAUAAGAGAUUAUAGCUUAACUAUGAAAAAGAAACCACCCCCCUUACCUCUAGUCUUCAAAGAUCCUAGCUAUGGCUUCAAUUUAGCUCCUAGUUCUUCAAACCCCUAGAUCUCUCUCUAGCUUCCUCUUCUUUCCUCUUGAUCCACAUUCUCUCUCUAUAUUAUGUUUUUGUGAAAUGAAAU